rnacentral:rRNA from 1 species
AUGGCGGCGCCGGAGGGGGAGGAGAAGGCGCCGACGGGACACCCUCUGCUCCGGGUGCUGAGGCGAGACAAAUACACGCACGGGCUCUACCCGGCGCAGAUGGAGGCGCUCCGGGCCAUGUGCGGCGCGCUCAUCCCGUCGCUGCCGCCGGAGGAGGCCCUCGACGGGCGCAGGGACACGCCACGCGACAAGGACCUCGAGCGGUUCUACCUCGCAUCCGGCGCCGACUCCACCAUUCCCGACGAGGUUGCGGAGCUGGCCUUCACCCGGUGCGUGUGGGAGGCGGGGGUGCUGGUGCACGUCACGCUCUGGCUACUGUGCACGCGGCUCGGCACGCUGGCGCUGUGCGGCCGGCUGUGCGUCUCCGGCGAGUUCCCGUACGUGCGCCGCUUCGCCGACAUGCCGGUGGGGCGGCGGGAGGAGGCGCUCAGGCGGUGGACCAAGGCGCGGUGGCUCAUCCUCGUCAAGAUCGCCUUCGCCAUCGUCAAGAGCCUCUGCUUCAACGUCUUCUACACCAAGGUGGUCGAAAACUCUGAGAACCCAUGCUGGAAAGCAACAGGGUUCAGCGUGCCGAACGUGAAAGAGCAACGAAAGAAACAUCCGACGGAAGCGACUACCCUGCGGCCUCUGGACAGCGGCGUCGUGGAGACCAGGGAGCUGGACGACGCCGCCCUGCUCACAUCACUCGCGGAGAAGGGCCUCGCGGUAAAGCCGGCCACGUCGGGCGAUUAUCACGCGGUGGAAUGCGAUGUCGCCAUCGUCGGUUCAGGCUGCGGCGGUGGCGUGGCCGCCGCGGUGCUCGCGUCCGCGGGGCACAAGGUGCUUGUCGUCGAGAAGGGAGACUACUUCACCCCCGAUGAUUACAGCUCAGUCGAGGGCCCGUCGAUGGAGCGCCUCUACGAGCAGGGAGGCAUCUUCUGCACGUCCAACGUGACGACCGUCUUGUACGCCGGCACCACCGUCGGCGGCGGCUCGGCGGUGAACUGGUCCGCCAGCAUCCGCACGCCACGGGAGAUCCUGCAGGAGUGGUCGCGCGAUCACGGGCUCCCCGUGUUCGGGAGCGCGGCCUACGUGCAGGCCAUGGACGCCGUGUGCGCCCGGCUCGCCGUGACCGACGGGUGUCGGGAGGAAGGGUUCCAGAACAAGGUGGUGCGCCGCGGGUGCGAGGCGCUCGGGCUGCCUGUUGACCGCGUGCCGCGCAACUCGUCAGAGGGCCACCACUGCGGGAGCUGCUACCUGGGGUGCCCAACCGGCGACAAGCGCGGCACCGACACGACGUGGCUCGUCGACGCCGUCGAGCACGGCGCGGUGAUCCUGGCCGGGUGCAAGGCCGAGCGCCUCAUCUUCCAGAACAAUAGCGGCAAGAACGGCCGGAGCAAGAAAUGCGUCGGCCUGGUGGCGACGUGCAUGAGCAACGGCAUCACCAAGAAGCUGCGCAUCGAGGCCAAGGUGUCCAUCUCGGCGUGCGGGGCGCUCAUGACGCCGCCGCUGCUCCGUAACAGCGGGCUCAGAAACCGGCACGUCGGCCGGAACCUGCACCUCCACCCGGUGUCCAUGGCGUGGGGGUACUUCCCGGACACGAACCAGGAGCCCCAGCUCACCGGCAAGUGCUACGAGGGCGGCAUCAUCACGAGCAUGCACCGCGUCACUGAGCGCACCAUCAUCGAGACGCCGGCACUGGGGCCGGGGGCCUUCGCCUCGUUGGUCCCGUGGGAAUCGGGCCGCGACAUGAAGGAGAGGAUGCGCCGGUACACGCGCACCGCGCACGCGUUCGCGCUGGUCCGCGACCACGCCGCGGGGAGCGUGUACGGCGAGGGCCGCGUGCACUACAGCCCGAGCCGCGGCGACAUCGAGGAGCUCCGAGACGGCCUGCGCCGCGCCCUGCGCAUCAUGGUGGCCUCCGGCGCGGCCGAGGUGGGCACGCACCGCAGCGACGGGCUGCGGCUGCGGUGCAAGGGCGUGCAGGACAAGGACCUGGAGGCGUUCCUGGACGAGGUGACCGUGGCGAGGGGCCCGAUGCAGCCGGGCACGGACACGUGGGCGCUCCUCUGCUCGGCGCACCAGAUGGGCAGCUGCCGGAUGGGCUCCAGCCCCAAGGAGGGCGCCGUCGACGGCAGAGGCGAGAGCUGGGAGGCCGAGGGCCUGUACGUCUGCGACGGCAGCCUCCUCCCGACUGCCGUUGGUGUGAACCCCAUGAUCACGAUACAGUCUCUCGCCUACUGCCUCUCCAUGGACAUCGCCGAGUCCUUGGCGUAG